rnacentral:rRNA from 1 species
GACGAACGCUGGCGGCGUGCUUAACACAUGCAAGUCGAACGGAAAGGCCCUGCUUGCAGGGUACUCGAGUGGCGAACGGAUGAGUAACACGUGGGUGGUCUGCCCUGCACUUAGGGAUAAGCCUGGUAAACUGGGUCUAAUAACUGAUAGGAGCCAUUUUUAGUGUGAUGGUUGGAAAGUGUUUUAGGUGUAGGCUGAGCUCGCGGCCUAUCAGCUUGUUGGUGGGGUAAUGGCCUACCAAGGCGGCGACGGGUAGCCGGACUGAGAGGGUGAACGGCCACCUUGGGUCUGAGAGACGGCCCAGACUCCUACGGGAGGGAGCAGUGGGGAAUAUUGCACAAGCGGCGCAAGCCUGAUGCAGCGACGCUGCGUGGGGGAUGACGGCCUUCUGGUUGGAAAAUCCCUUCGCUAGGGACGAAGCUUUUUGUGACGGUACCUAGAUAAGAAGCACCGGCUAACUACGUG